CUCCCUUUGGGACACAGAGAGACACAUUUAUAAUAAAAGCAUAAAUGCAAUGUGUUCAUCAUAUAAAGCGAUCACGUGUCUUCGGAAAAUUUGGACUAAACCGCUCAAUUCAUAUCCAUUCUUUUAAUGAACUUUUUGAAGCGUCAAAGCGUCAAUGGAGGAACGGAUCUUUGUUUGUGUUCCAAAGAUGAACGAAAUUAUUACGGGUUUGGUCGGAACGACAUGAGGAAUUUUUGUCUUACAAUGUGAUCUCUGACACUUACCUCCACAACUUCCCCAAGAUCUUCUACACCAUCCCAUUUAUCGUCAUAGGCAUCAAACAAGGACUGAAACAGUCGACCUGACGCAUCUUUCAUUACUAUUAAACAUCAAGCACAAUAAAGCAUGUCAGUAUUCCUGUGUAUAAUCUCCUGCACAAGUCUCAUAGUCAAGACUGAGCCAACCUGUGACAGCGUUGAGGUACGCUUUAAGGUCCUUGUAUAUUCUGUAUCCAUCGCUCUGCAAUAGAAACCACAAGGAAAAAAUAGGUCAACUUUUGAUCUUCAAAGCUGUUACUUUGGAGACCGUAGAUGUAAUGUACCUGUUGAAAUUGGAGGUUCAUUACACACUGCUCAAAGUGCUCAUCUUUGGUCUCCUCAGAUUUG